AUUGAACGCUGGCGGCAGGCCUAACACAUGCAAGUCGAGCGGAUGAAGGGAGCUUGCUCCUGGAUUCAGCGGCGGACGGGUGAGUAAUGCCUAGGAAUCUGCCUGGUAGUGGGGGAUAACGUCCGGAAACGGGCGCUAAUACCGCAUACGUCCUGAGGGGGAACGUGGGGGAUCUUCGGACCUCACGCUAUCAGAUGAGCCUAGGUCGGAUUAGCUAGUUGGUGUGGUAAAGGCCUACCAAGGCGACGAUCCGUAACUGGUCUGAGAGGAUGAUCAGUCACACUGGAACUGAGACACGGUCCAGACUCCUACGGGAGGCAGCAGUGGGGAAUAUUGGACAAUGGGCGAAAGCCUGAUCCAGCCAUGCCGCGUGUGUGAAGAAGGUCUUCGGAUUGUAAAGCACUUUAAGUUGGGAGGAAGGGCAGUAAGUUAAUACCUUGCUGUUUUGACGUUACCAACAGAAUAAGCACCGGCUAACUUCGUG
rnacentral:rRNA from 1 species